UGUGCACGGCGUUCGAGUGUGUCUCGUGGAUUGGCUUCGUGGCUUGGAAGGCGAACGGCGAAAACCUUGCUUUCUUCAAAACGCCGUCGAUCAUUCUCAUCGGUGUAGCGCUUUUCAAGGUGUACACGGUGCGACAACUUAGGGACUACAUGAAAGUUCUGAAGGACGCCCAGCCCAUCGUGCGGGCGCCCAGCUAGCC